rnacentral:rRNA from 1 species
CCUACGGGUGGCAGCAGUGAGGAAUAUUGGUCAAUGGUCGUAAGACUGAACCAGCCAAGUCGCGUGAGGGAUGAAGGUUCUAUGGAUCGUAAACCUCUUUUAUAAGGGAAUAAAGUGUGGGACGUGUCCUGUUUUGUAUGUACCUUAUGAAUAAGGAUCGGCUAACUCCGUGCCAGCAGCCGCGGUAAUACGGAGGAUCCGAGCGUUAUCCGGAUUUAUUGGGUUUAAAGGGUGCGUAGGCGGGCUUUUAAGUCAGCGGGGAAAGUCUGUGGCUCAACCAUAGAAUUGCCGUUGAAACUGGGAGGCUUGAGUAUGUGUGAGGCAGGCGGAAUGCGCGGUGUAGCGGUGAAAUGCUUAGAUAUCACGCAGAACCCCGAUUGCGAAGGCAGCAUGCCAAGUCAUGACUGACGCUGAUGCACGAAAGCGUGGGGAUCAAACAGGAUUAGAUACCCUUGUAGUC